rnacentral:rRNA from 1 species
AGCAGCCGCGGUAAUUCCAGCUCCAAUAGCGUAUAUUAAAGUUGUUGCAGUUAAAAAGCUCGUAGUUGAAUUUCGGGAUUGGCGCAUCGGUCGUGCCUCACGGGGUAUGAACUGGUGCAGUCAAUUUCUCACCUUCUGGAGAACCGCGAUGUCCUUAAUUGGAUGCCGCGGGGAACCAGGACCUUUACUUUGAAAAAAUUAGAGUGUUUAAAGCAGGCAUUUUUGCUUGAAUACAUUAGCAUGGAAUAAUAAAAUAGGACGGCAUGGUUCUAUUUUGUUGGUUUCUAGGACCACCGUAAUGAUUAAUAGGGAUAGUUGGGGGCAUUAGUAUUCAAUUGUCAGAGGUGAAAUUCUUGGAUUUAUUGAAGACUAACUACUGCGAAAGCAUUUGCCAAGGAUGUUUUCAUUAAUCAAGACGAAAGUUAGGGGAUCGAAAACGAUCAGAUACCGUCGUAGUCUUAACCAUAAACUAUGCCGACUAGGAAUCAGA